CAUCCCUCUUUGUCAGUCAACAAACUGCCCAGGCUCAGCUCGGUGCCACUCACUCGGAGAGCAUCGUGGCCCGUCGGGGCCACCUGGGUCGGGCCAGUCUUGCAGAAAGACCUGCCGGCCCGGGACGCGGGGCGCAGAGGUGGCCCCCCGCCCCCCCCUGCAGCCCCGCAGCCCCGCAGCCCCCGCCCUCGCCGGCCCAGCCGCCCUGCCCCUCCCCUAAUCUGCUCAGAGCUGGCUCCGUUAAACUUCUUACGUGGCCCCCAGGAGCCGGGGCCAGGUAGGCCCGGGGCAGCCACGCCCGCAGCCGCUCACACGACAGGUGCCCCCGCGCUCACGGCCGCGCCGGAGGGUCGGUGCCCCGCGAGCGCCCGGACGCGACCUCGGCGGCCAGACCUGCGCCCGGGUGGGCGGCCCCGGCGGGCGCGGACGCUGCGGCCCCUCCUCCUCCUCCCCCUCCUCCUCCUCCUCCUCCCCCCGCGGCUUCCCGGCUCACGCUCCCCCUGCCCUGCGGCUCCGCCACGGCGCCCGAGCUGCAGCCGGCGGCCCGCGGACCCCGGCGGCCCCGCCCCGCCCCGCACUGCCGGGCAGAUUUGCCGGGCUGCGCGGCCCGUGAUUGGCCGCCGGCGGGGCGCGCUCCGAUUGGCUGCCUUGCGAGCGCCCCGCCCCCGGCCCCGCCCCCGGCCCCGCCCCCGGCCCCUCCGCCCCGCAGAGGUGCCCGGCGCCCCGCGCCCGCCCGACCUCCCGCCUCCCUCCCGCGCAGCCCGCACCCCGAGGUUGAACGCGAGCCCAGACGUUUCUCCCCUUGCACCUUUCUCCUCCCCGCGCACACGCGCUGACAGUCGCAGAGCGUGUCUUGCAUGUCCAGUAAAACCACAGCAGCAGCCGCGGAAAACACGGGAAGUGAAGAAGCCGAGAGAGGGGCAGUGUGUCACCCUCAAGGAUGGUUUGUUGCGACCGCUAGGAAGGUCUGCUUUGCACAGCACUUGUCCCCAUUUUUCCAGAGGACGGGAUGAUGGUUACUUACGGUGGUGA
rnacentral:lncRNA from 1 species